AGUUAUCUCCUUUUGCUCAAGAGCCUGAUUGUUGUGGGGCAGCAACUGUACUUGAACCUGGUGGUGUGAGUCCUGAGGCUCUUGUACCUUCUACCUGAUGGCAGCAGUGAGAAAAGAGCAUGGCUUGGGUGGUACCUGUGAUGUUGCUGCAGGAAUGGUCCCCAUUGUACUGCUUGCACAGGAGUUGGUUCUACUUGAUCGGC